rnacentral:tRNA from 1 species
CGGGUUCAAUUCCCGUCGUUCGCCCGCGGAUGUAGCCAAGUGGAUCAAGGCAGUGGAUUGUGAAUCCAUCAUGCG